UGGGGAAUAUUGGACAAUGGGCGCAAGCCUGAUCCAGCCAUGCCGCGUGGGUGAAGAAGGCCUUCGGGUUGUAAAGCCCUUUUGUUGGGGAAGAAAUCCUGUCGGCUAAUACCCGGCGGGGAUGACGGUACCCAAAGAAUAAGCACCGGCUAACUUCGUGCCAGCAGCCGCGGUAAUACGAAGGGUGCAAGCGUUACUCGGAAUUACUGGGCGUAAAGCGUGCGUAGGCGGUUCGUUAAGUCUGUCGUGAAAGCCCUGGGCUCAACCUGGGAAUUGCGAUGGAUACUGGCGAGCUAGAGUACGGUAGAGGAAGGUGGAAUUCCCGGUGUAGCGGUGAAAUGCGUAGAGAUCGGGAGGAACACCCGUGGCGAAGGCGGCCAUCUGGACCAGUACUGACGCUGAGGCACGAAAGCGUGGGGAGCAAACA
rnacentral:rRNA from 1 species